rnacentral:rRNA from 1 species
UUAGGAAUUUUGGGCAAUGGCCGCAAGGCUGACCCAGCAACGCCGCGUGAGGGAUGAAGGCCUUCGGGUUGUAAACCUCUUUUCCUAGGGACGAUUGUGACGGUACCUGGGGAAUCAGCCCCGGCUAACUACGUGCCAGCAGCCGCGGUAAUACGUAGGGGGCGAGCGUUGUCCGGAUUUAUUGGGCGUAAAGCGCGCGUAGGCGGUGGCUCAAGUCGGCCGUGAAAGCGCCAGGCUCAACCUGGCGAGGACGGGCGAAACGGAGUCGCUCGAGGCGAGCAGAGGGCAGCGGAAUUCCGGGUGUAGUGGUGGAAUGCGUAGAUAUCCGGAGGAACACCAGUGGCGAAGGCGGCUGCCUGGGCUCGACCUGACGCUGAGGCGCGAAAGCGUGGGGAGCAAACCGGAUUAGAUACCCGGGUAGUCCACGCUGUAAACGUUGGGCACUAGCUGCUGGAGGUAUCGACCCCUUCGGUGGCGUCGCUAACGCAAUAAGUGCCCCG